rnacentral:rRNA from 1 species
UACGGGGGGAGCAAGCGUUGUUCGGAUUUACUGGGCGUAAAGGGCGCGUAGGCGGCCACCGCAAGUCGGUUGUGAAAUCUCUGGGCUUAACCCAGAAAGGUCAAUCGAUACUGCGGGGCUAGAGUGCAGAAGGGGCAACUGGAAUUCUCGGUGUAGCGGUGAAAUGCGUAGAUAUCGGGAGGAACACCAAUGGCGAAGGCAGCUCGCUGGGACGGUACUGACGCUGAGACGCGAAAGCGUGGGGAGCAAACAGG